rnacentral:tRNA from 1 species
UCCCUGGUGGCUCAGAUGGUAAAGAAUCUGCCUGCAAUGUGGGAGACCUAGGUUCAAUCCCUGGCUUGGGAA